rnacentral:tRNA from 1 species
AAACAAAAAGUGUUUUUGUUGAACAUUUACUG